GGAUGAUUAUCUGGGAGGGGUGACAGUUUUCUUGCUCUUUGAUGUAUUUCAAGUCUCAUCCUAGGCAUGAGAACCUUUCACAGGUUGGAAGCCAAGGCUGACUUCUGGAUGCCAAGUUGGAAAUAAUUGCCCGAGUAAAAACUCAGGGAGGAGUCCAUCCACACAGCUGCCAUAAAGGCUCCAGUCAGAGGAGCUACAAUCAUCGCCUACUGAGAUCAAGCCCAUGAGCUGCCUGGGGCAGGGAAGCUUCUCCUACUGCAUCCUGACAGAGUUGCCUGCUCUCUGCAAGUGCAUCAGCCUGGGAACUCGCUUGGUGAGUGCGGAUGCAGUGGGGUGCAGGACCAGAUGAGAGGGAGCUGCCAAGAAAGCCACAGGAGCAGAAUGCGUAUGGAAAUGAAGCAAGAGAUGACAAAUAUAUAUUCCUGGUUUAGGUGGGUGCAUAAGAAACAGCUGCCGCUGGGGCAGCCUCAGCUCAUCCAAACCGUGCUGAGAAAAGGCACAGCUAAAGGAAUUUUUUAUGUGUUGUCACGUCCUCAAGGCUUGUUUUUCAAAGCACAGAAAUGCUUUUUAUUGUGUUGGAAGCCACCUCCUGCACAUUUACAACUUUUAAAUUAACCUUACUUGGAUUCAGUUGAAUUAGGGACAGGGAAAUCCUAUUAGGUCUUGUUAUCAUUUGAGCUACCAGGGCAGUAUUGUUCUGUAUGUUAAUUUGCCAAGCACUCUGUUCAUGUUUAAAUAACUCAGUGUAAUAACCAUGUAAUUAUUGUCUAUGCCUCUUAAUACAUAUUCAUGUGUUUGAAAAAAGAUUUUAAAUAUUUUUCUUAGAUUUUAAACACCUUCCUGCCUCUUUUUAACCCUUUCAACCACUCCUCCUCUUCAAGAAGAUUAUGUAUAUUUUGUAGAUGAGGCAGUGGAGGGAGGGUGAAUCCACACUGACUGCUUAUGCCCUAUUUCCUUUUACCAGAUUUCUUUUAGACUCCCUUUUGAAUCAACCGAUUAUCUUAAAACUGAAAUCCAAGGGAAGGGUUUGCUUCUGGAACCUCUCCAGAAGCACAAUGAGGAAGGAAAUGCCAAGUUUGACUCCUUCCGCCCAACAUAGACUAUCUUCAGCAGCUGCUCAAAGUGGUGUUUGAGAGAGUACAUGUCCUCCCUUGAGCUCCAGCCCUUGGAGCUGCAGGAGAGGUGGGAAUCAGCUAGCAUGACAGGCAGAGGUGCAGCUUAUUUUGAUGAGAUGGUGUUACCCCAAUGCAGCAGUGGAGCACUGCUCCCAUGCCCUCUCCCCAUCCAGCAGCCUGCUCUCUUGGCUCACACGCCCACCUUGCCUGGGGACCCCUUCCUCCUGCUCUCCUCCUGCCAGCCAUCUCCAUCCAGGCACACCCUGUCAGCCUCCUCACUCCAUGGCCAGGAUUUCUGCAGAGCCUUGUGCUCUGGCACUGCGUGGUCAGCUCUGGCCUGUUGAGGCUGGGGGCAGCACUGCUGGCUUCCCAGAACAACGAGGCUGUGCAUUCCCUCUCUUUCUGCCCUGGCCAUGCUCAGGCCUGUCCCCAUGACAGAUGUGAAGUACAGGGGUGUAUGCCCAAAAGUAAGGAGCCUUCUCAUCAGGGUGUUUGCCUGGUGUAGGAAAGACGCCUGAGGCCAGUGAAGAUCUGGCCUAAUUCCAGGAGAUGACUGAGUGGAGACCUUUUACUCCCAGGUGAGAAAGAAGAUGCUGCUCUGAAAACAGAAAGUGCUAGGGUAAGAACUGACAGGUGUCUGACACUGUGGUGACACCCUGCCUCCCCCCAUGUUGUCACCAGUCUCACCUUCACUUCCAGACAGUGAAGCCCUUCUCCAGCUCCUGCCUUAGCUGCAGGAGAACAGCAGCUGAGGCACCAGCCAUGCAGACUGACCCGGCACACCUCAUCAGGACACAGCUAUGGAGGAACUGGCGAGCAAGUCUGCUUUUACUUCUUUUGUGCUUGCUCCCACUUAGGCUUUUCUAUGCAAAAUACUGUAUUUUGGUAGUAUAGGUGGUGUGUAAUAGUGCUGUGCUGUUGGGAUAUCCUGGGCCUGUUGUAUACAAGUCAGACCUCUCUGCAGGGUGGUGGGUGGGCAGGUCUCUUUAUAGCGAUGGUUAAAAAAAGAGGGGGAAGGUGUGGGGAAACACUUCAAAGAGGCAUAUGAGUAGGUAGGAAAGAAGGAAGUGGGAGAGCAAUAGCCAUGGCAGUAGCCACGACUUAGACAUCUGGAGACAUAUGAGUAUACUUGGUAGCCUUGGGGCUACCUCCCUGAUCUGCCACUUGUUCAGUAGUGGUGAAACAAGUGGGAGCAGUGGUGAUCAUGCUGCUGCCUGCAUGUUGGACAACGGCUACCAGAAAGCUUAGAGCAUGGCCCGCUUUUAACAUGCUUGCUAGUGCUGCGGGGCAAACAGGGGUUGAGCAUGAUGUGUAGGUCAAACUGGAGCUGUGCAUGGGUAGGUUCAGAGGCCCUUGGAUAGGUAUGGGGCUGGAGCUCACUCCAUUUGCUGUUUGGUGCAAGUAAACCUGGCCAGUGAGACGUGGGCUCUCUGCGUUACUUGUACCAGAUAUUAGUGAUGAUGCAGAGUGAGACACUGAGAGAAGAAUAACUCCCCUGUUACGUUAACAGGGAAUGGAUUUGGACUUCCUAAGUCCCAGUGUCUCUGUUAGACCCUACUGCAACUCCAGCACUUGGAUCUGUUUCUCAUAUUAUAUAUUACUUUCCUUUGGGGAAUCCCUCUUUCUCCGUAUAAGAAACAAAAAGCACGAGCUUUAACAAGCUCUAUUAAAUUAUCCAAGAGAUGUUGUGCUGGAGAGCAUCCCUGGAAGUCAUCCCCUCACUGUGAGGCAAGAUCACACUUAACUAGAUGGUCCCUGGGAGAAAUUCCUGUAACUCUUCCUUGAUACCUCCAGUGAUGCGGCAUCAGCUACAGACAGAGGCUGCAAUGCUUCACUUUCCUUGCACUUAAUUUAUUUUUUUCCUCCUGACCUCAAUGUAUCUUUGCUGCAAGUCAACUUUGCACUUUCUUGUCCAACUCUUUCUGCAUACAGCAAAGCUUUCUUUUGGUAACAGCCUUUCCUUCAUAUUGGAGAACUCUUUGGAGACUUCCUUCUCUCUAUCAAGGCUUCUCUUUCCCAAAACAUGUAAUCUUCCUGCUGUGCUCCACUAGCCUCUCUCUGGCUUCCCUGCACUGCUCUUCUGGUGUGAGCUUUCUGUCCCUGUUGACCUUGUUGGCAACUUAGGUCUAACGUUCUAUGUGUAACACAAACCUAGCAGUGAGGCAACUUACUCCAGAGACCAGGACCCUGGCUGAAUUCUAGCAUGUGGUUCUCCUAAAGGAUAAUAACUCUAUGAGGGUUUGGUGACCCCUCUAUAAGUCCUGGGGAGGAGAGUCCUGGCCAAAGCCUGGGGAGUUCUUCUGUGGCAUGUUAGCCCUCCCUGCUCCAUCUGCUUUCUAUUGCGCUUGAAAAGGAAAUGAACUGAGCUAAAUGAUUUCAAAGUGACAUUCCCCACACUGCACUCUAAUUCCAUAAUUGCCAGCUCCAUGCAGUUCCCAGUACUAAAAUGUUUAAAAUAAUAGCCUUAAAAAAGAGCGAAAUCUUCGAAAGGGCCAUACACCACCUCUGCUGGAGCAGUAAAAUGGUGGCAGAAUAAUUUCCAUAUGCAGUGGAUGGGUGUUUGGUUAUUUGGGGGUCGAGUAUAGUUUCUUCCUCUGCCAGGAAUUUCUCUAAGCCAGGAGUCAAAAUUACUUUUUUCCUUUGUGAACUCUUUUUAAAUGUUGUGUUGACUGAUAUAUCAGCCGUGGUUUGGUCUCCAGUUGACUGCUCAAGCUUGCUGAUGCAAAUUUUUGAACAGAAAAAAGAAACUUUUUUUUUUAAAAAUAUGGACUAUUCUGUAUCUCCAUAUAGAUAGAGGGGUGAAAUAAAUUUUUACUCUCAGCCCUUUCAUCCAAUUAAUUUCCCACAGGCAGUUCUGUAAAUACCUCUGUGGCAAUGAUAGCAGCAGCUUGGUUUAGUCUGACAUCCAUUAACUGCAUCUUCAGUGUGAUGUAAUAUCUGGGACAAGAAAGACAAUGCUCAGCCAGCUGCCAGCAGGCAGCCACCAAGGUCUGUUGGCCAGGGGUGGUUUGUAGACCACGGCUCAGGAACUGCUGGCUUAGAGACUUCAGCGUGCAAACCUGUGAGACUAAUUGUGAUUUUACUAAAGCAUUAGUGGUUUGUACUGCAUUCAUUCUCUAACGCUAUCUCCAUUUGCUCCAUGUACACCUCAUGUUUUCCCUCCUAUUUUUGGUCAGAUGUUUUUAUUUCUCGAAAUCUACCUCUGAAACAGUUCUGCACUUUUGGCAUAACGUAUCUACCAGCAUGGUUGACUUUGAUGUGUAGUAUCAAGUCCACUUCUGGAACUCAUCAAGUUAUUGUAAAAACUAUUAUAUGUAUUCCAUUAAAUGAAUAUUUUAUAUGUCUAUCUUGCUAUGCCUUUAAACAACAUUUCUGUUGGUUUUGAUGGAGUUAAUUCAGCUUUUUUCUUAAAGUAGAAAAUAACCAGAAUAAAAAUAGCAAGCGAUCUCUCCAGCAACGAGCAGUCAGAAUUUAUGUUCUCAGUGUGCACGGCUCUGAAGAUGUGAUGAUUCCAUUCAGCUGAGCAUCAAAAAGAUCAAAAGGCUUUAGUGAAGUGUAACUGUCACUUUGAUCAGAAAGCUGUAUUGGAAACUUAAUGAAAAUUAGUGGCUGCUUUUGACAGUCGCGGUUCUUCCUAUUUCUAGUUGUGGUGUUAAUACUAUGGGAAAAUAACCUGACCCUGUUGAGUCCAGACACUGUGGUUGGGUUUUGGGUGAGAAAUUAGAUCAGGCUUUUCCUUUUUUUUUUUCAGUAAAUAUAGUUGCCUUUAAUUUUUGGCUGCAUUCAGCUGAUUUCUGAAGUAGGAUUUUUUUUUCUUUUUCUCCUGAUUGCAAGUUAUUUCAUUCA